GGGACGAACGCUGGCGGCGUGCUUAACACAUGCAAGUCGAGCGGUGACCCUCCUUCGGGAGGUGAUCAGCGGCGAACGGGUGAGUAACACGUGGGCAACCUGCCCCUCACACUGGGAUAACCUCGGGAAACCGGGGCUAAUACCGGAUACGACCUCGAGCGGCAUCUCUUGAGGUGGAAAGCUCCGACGGUGAGGGAUGGGCCCGCGGCCUAUCAGCUUGUUGGUGGGGUAAUGGCCUACCAAGGCGACGACGGGUA
rnacentral:rRNA from 1 species